AUUGAACGCUGGCGGCAUGCCUUACACAUGCAAGUCGAACGGUAACAGGUUAAGCUGACGAGUGGCGAACGGGUGAGUAAUGUAUCGGAACGUGCCCAGUCGUGGGGGAUAACUGCUCGAAAGAGCAGCUAAUACCGCAUACGACCUGAGGGUGAAAGCGGGGGAUCGCAAGACCUCGCGCGAUUGGAGCGGCCGAUAUCAGAUUAGGUAGUUGGUGAGGUAAAGGCUCACCAAGCCGACGAUCUGUAGCUGGUCUGAGAGGACGACCAGCCACACUGGGACUGAGACACAGCCCAGACUCCUACGGGAGGUAGCAGUGGGGAAUUUUGGACAAUGGGCGCAAGCCUGAUCCAGCCAUGCCGCGUGCGGGAAGAAGGCCUUCGGGUUGUAAACCGCUUUUGUCAGAGAAGAAAAGGUUCUGGCUAAUACCUGGGACUCAUGACGGUACCUGAAGAAUAAGCACCGGCUAACUACGUGCCAGCCGCCGCAGUAA
rnacentral:rRNA from 1 species